rnacentral:rRNA from 1 species
UACGAGGGGGGCAAGCGUUGUUCGGAAUUAUUGGGCGUAAAGGGCGCGUAGGCGGUGCGGUAAGUCACCUGUGAAAACUCUGGGCUCAACUCAGAGCCUGCAGGCGAAACUGCCGUGCUGGAGUGUGGGAGAGGUGCGUGGAAUUCCCGGUGUAGCGGUGAAAUGCGCAGAUAUCGGGAGGAACACCGGUGGCGAAGGCGGUUCUCUGGGCCUUACCUGACGCUGAGGAGCGAAAGCGUGGGGAGCAAACAGG